rnacentral:lncRNA from 1 species
CAGUAGGAAGGGCGGAAAUUCCUGAAGAUGUGUUCAUCCAUGUUGCAUCAGCUGCUUGGUGUUUUCAUGGCAUCUCUGCACACGUGUUGGGUUGAUCUUAAGCAGAAAACCAGAAGUGGCAGUGGUCUCCAGAAGAGACCAAGGACCCCAAGCUCUCUCUGACACAAGCAGGAAGGGCACUGUGGUGCAUUGAAAACUUGCUCCAGUAGUGCAUUGCCAGUGCACUAUGCUGCUGUUUCAUCAAGGAGAAAGGAGGUGACCAGCCCGAGAGGAACUUCAUGCUCUACAGUAUGCCUACGGAGAACACCUCAAGGCGCAUCCAAGCAACGUCCUGGAGGCACAGCGCCACCGGAAUCUCAAUCGCCAUUUGGGGGACCUGCUUAAAGUCCUUAAGAAAUGAUUCCACUGUGAGGCUUUCAAAACGGCAUGAAUAUUAAUUUUAUUCAUUAUAAAGUUUUCAUUUUUAAA